AUUGAACGCUAGCGGGAUGCUUUACACAUGCAAGUCGAAAGAGUGGCGGACGGGUGAGUAAUAUAUCGGAACGUGCCCAGGAGCGGGGGAUAACUAAUCGAAAGAGAGGCUAAUACCGCAUACUCUAGGAGCGGCCGAUAUCGGAUUAGCUAGUGGGUGGGGUAAAGGUGCACCAAGGCAACGAUCCGUAGCUGGUGUGAGAGGACGACCAUCCACACGGGGACUGAGACACGGCCCAGACUCCUACGGGAGGCAGCAGUGGGGAAUUUUGGACAAUGGGGGAAACCCUGAUCCAGCCAUCCCGCGUGUAUGAGAAGGCCUUCGGGUUGUAAAGUACUUUUGGCAGAGAAGCGGUAUCUGCAGAAUAAGCCCCGGCUAACUACGUGCCAGCAGCCGCGGUAAUAC
rnacentral:rRNA from 1 species